rnacentral:rRNA from 8 species
AAUCCAUAGGUUAAUGAGGCGAACCGGGGGAACUGAAACAUCUAAGUACCCCGAGGAAAAGAAAUCAACCGAGAUUCCCCCAGUAGCGGCGAGCGAACGGGGAGGAGCCCAGAGCCUGAAUCAGCAUGUGUGUUAGUGGAAGCGUCUGGAAAGGCGCGCGAUACAGGGUGACAGCCCCGUACACAAAAGCGCAUGUGCUGUGAGCUCGAUGAGUAGGGCGGGACACGUGGUAUCCUGUCUGAAUAUGGGGGGACCAUCCUCCAAGGCUAAAUACUCCUGACUGACCGAUAGUGAACCAGUACCGUGAGGGAAAGGCGAAAAGAACCCCGGCGAGGGGAGUGAAAAAGAACCUGAAACCGUGUACGUACAAGCAGUGGGAGCACAGGUUUACCUGUGUGACUGCGUACCUUUUGUAUAAUGGG